rnacentral:rRNA from 1 species
UUUCGUAGGUGAACUGCGGAGGGAUCAUUA